rnacentral:rRNA from 1 species
AUUGAACGCUGGCGGCAGGCCUAACACAUGCAAGUCGAGCGAGCGGCGGACGGGUGAGUAAUGUCUGGGAAACUGCCUGAUGUAGGGGGAUCACUACUGGAAACGGUAGCUAAUACCGCAUACCAUCAGAUGUGCCCAGCUGGGAUUAGCUAGUAGGUGGGGUAACGGCUGCCCUAGGCGACGCUCCCUAGCUGGUCUGAGAGGGUGACAAGCCGCACUGGGAGGGUGCCACGGUCCAGGCGCGUAAGGGAGGGGGCAGGGGGGACUAUGGCACGAGGGGGGCAAGCCGGAUGCAGCCAUGCCGCGUGUGAGAAGAAGGCCUUCGGGUUGUAAAGCACUUUCAGCGUGGAGGCGUUGCCCGCAGGAGAAGCACCGGCUAACUCCGUGCCAGCAGCCGCGGUAAUAC